rnacentral:rRNA from 1 species
UGAUUAUACUAUUUACAUAUUAUUAGUACGUAGUAUGUUGUUAAGAUUUAAUAUAUAAUGUACUUCAUUUUUAAUGGAGAGGUAGUUAGUAUGUAAUUAAUUUUAGAAAUAUAUUUGUUUGUAUUGUAUAUAAAUGUGUUAGAUUAUUUAAAUUAUUUGUUUAUUUAGUAUAAGUAGUAUAGAAAUAAAUGUUGUUGAGAGUACUGUAAAGGAUGAUUGUUUUAUAUAUUUAUUGUUUAGUAGAAAUUUAUGUUCGUACCUUUUGUAUAAUGGAUUGAUGAUUUAAUAAUUGUUGUAUUAUAAUAUCUCGAAGUGAAAGGAUUUACUUAAUAAGUUGUAUGUUAACGUUGUAUAGUUAUAUAUUGAUUAUUAGGUGGUAAUGAGAUGUUUAUCGAUUUUCGUGAUAGCUAGUUUAUUAAUUUAAGAUAUUUAAGUAUUAUAGUAUUAAUUAUAAUAAUUGUGUUAUUUUAAUAUUAGUUUAUUAUACGGGGGAUAAGCUUUGUAUAAUUUUACAGAAUUUUAAUAGAUAAGAAUUGUAAUUUAAGUAGAAUUAAUAACGUUUUUCUUUAAGAGUAGUUUAAAUUUUUAUAUUAUUUAGGUAAUUCGUGUGUUUAGUUAAUAAAUUCCUAUAAAUUUUGAUAGGUAAAUAUAAUGUUAAUAUGAGUAUUAGGAAUGUUUAAUAUAUUUAUGAUUAUUAUAAAUGUAAAUGGUUUAUAUUAUUGUGGUAUUAAUUAAGUAAGAUAAAGGAAUUCGGCAAAUAUUAAUCUCGCCUGUUUAUCAAAAACAUGUCUCUUUGUAGUUUAUAAAUGGAGAGUCGGGCCUGCUCGGUGAAUAAAAUUGUUUUAACAGCUGCGGUAUUUUAACUGUACUAAGGUAGCAUAAUAAUUUGCCUUAUAAUUUGAGGCUAGAAUGAAUGGUUUGACGAAGGUUAAUCUGUCUCUAUUUUAUUUAUUAGAAUUUAAUUUUUAGAGUGAAAAAGCUUGGAUUUUUUAAAGGGACGAGAAGACCCUACUGAGCUUAUAAUUUUAUUAUUAUUUUGUUUUGAUGUGUAAAGUAAUAUAUAAAUUUUAAUUGGGGUGAUUAAGGAAUAAAGUGUGUAAGAUAAGUAACUUCCUUAGUUUAAAUAUUGUUAAAUAAAGUAACCAAUAAUAUUGCUUAUAAUAUAGUUACCAUAGGGAUAACAGCGUAAUUUAUUUAGAGAGUUCUUAUUGAAAAAUGAGAUUGCGACCUCGAUGUUGGAUUAAAGUAACCUUAAGGUGCAGAAGCUUUAAAAGGUAAAUCUGUUCGAUUUUUAAAACUUUACAUGAUCUGAGUUCAGACCGGCGUGAGCCAGGUUGGUUUCUAUCUUUUAAAAUGAUUAUUGCUUCUUUUAGUACGAGAGGACCAAGGAUAGCUAAAUUUUUGUUUAUUAUAAU